UGGAGUCCAAUCGGAUUUUCUUAUUGAGCUGCACUCUUUUAUAUGCGACGCAUUUGUUCUUGCUUGUCCACUUUUGGUAUAGUGCCUUGUAUUUCACACUGAACCUUACCCAAAUCUACCAGGAUAUGUCGAAUUUUUGCGUGGUAUUCGUAGAAUCUAUGAUGUUUUAAUAACGCUAUUAACUGCAUCCUUAAGCCUUUUCUUAUUGAAGUAGCCUAUGAAUCUGUUACUGGCAGAUUUGAGUUAAGUUGAGUUGUUUGACGGCUUCUGAGAGGGGUUACAUGAAGCUUGGUUGUAAAUUUGCAAUUGUACAAUAACUGCCAGUGCAAGUUAAAAGGUUUACCAAGAAAAUAUUUGUGGCUGCAUGAAAUACAUAUGUAUAUCAAAUAUGUACAUAUGUAUAUUUAAAGCUUCUUCCUUCAAUUAUUCCAUUCUUCUUUUCUGAUUGUAUUAAGACGGUUGUGUUAAAUUAUAGAAAUAAAGUACGAAAUAAUAACUACAUUUUCAAAAUCAUUUACAAUAUUUUUCCAAAAAUACUAUUAUUUAUUAUAGUUAAAUGUUUUUAAAUUGCAGGAAAAAUAUCAAAUGGAUUGGUGAGGGAACGAAGUCUUAAGUUUAAUCAAAAUAUCAUUGAUCAUAUAAAAUUAAUUAAGCUUAUAUUAAUUGCUAUAAAUAAUUAUGCUACAAUUAUUUAAGUCUUAAAGUAUGUAUGUAUGUAUAAAUUUUUUUUUCAAGAAAUGCAUACGUAGAAAAAAGUUUAUUUCUACUUUUUCAUUUUCCACAUAAAUUUGUUCACUUUUAUUAAAAUGUAAACAGUUCAAGAGCUCAAAACAUGCGCUAUGAUAGCUCGAAUCCACCUAUGCGACGCUUUGACGUUUCGUAAUUGGAAUGACUGGAACAGCCAGAUUGAAAUUCUUCCAAAAAUAUAUAUAUGUUAACAGAACAAUUUGUUGCCGCCCUUUAAUAUCGCUAAUAAAAAAUGUAGAACAGUGGAAGUUAAAGAAAAGGCGAAAUGAUGCGAAAGCUUCUACAAUGAACGACGAAAGAUUCGUGGAGAAAAUAGUGAUUUGGGAAGUGCUCUACAACAAGGCCCGCAUAAGCUACCGCCUGUCCAGUAAAAAGAAGGCUGUCUGGGUAAGAGCGACAAAGGAGCUAAGUGCUACGGGAGACCAAUGUGCACAGAGGUGGUAGACUCUGCGAGAAAGAUACAGCAGAGAAGUUGGGAAAAUGGGGAACUACAUGGGAGUGCGGCGGGUUAUACCAAAACAGGGCCACUGUUCGAGAGUUUGAGCCUUUUAAAGCUAUACAUACAGCCCAGACCAAACCGCUUCACCACGAAUAUUUAAGAUCAUGAUAUGCCGAAGUCGUCGCUGUCAGAGCCGAUAAAUUCAGACAAUACACAAAGUAUUUUAUCAUCUCCUUCGGAGUUAUCGACUUCAACUCCAAUCCGGAAAAGGGCCAAGCGACCCAACAGCGACGAGGACAGCUGCUACAAAGAAUCUUGCGAACUUUAUAAGAUCACGUGUGCUGAGGGGAGGAAGAACAACGAGACUGUGAAGGCGUUUGGCAUAAUGUUAACAUCUAUAAUGAACGAUAUGAUCGAGAUAAAGCAAUUAAAAGCUAUCCAGGUUUUAUCAAAUGCGUUAUUAGCUAUAAAAUCGGAUAUUGAAUAAAUUGUUUUUUAAUUUCUAAAUCAUUUGUUCCUUUAUAUACCAUGUACCCCAUUUUGAAACAAUAAUAAUCAGAAUGUUGAAGAAAAGGUUAUACCUAGACAUUAAAAACAACAAUAUUUCUCAUUUUGAAUUCAUAGUAAA